ACACCCCACAUCAAUAACUUGUUUGUUGAAUGGAACUGAGAGUCUAUCGGUCUAUUUUUUAGACUGAACUCUUUAAAACUAUUAGGCCUGAACUAUUGUUCUUUUUCGCCUGAACAUUUUUUUAAUAUAAAGGAAUGCUCUAGUAAUUAAGACUAUCUUCUGGGGCCUCCCAAAUAAAACUCUUUUAA
rnacentral:misc_RNA from 1 species